AAAACGCGCAUGACGCGCAGCUCUUUUUACAAGCUUGACCUCGG
rnacentral:misc_RNA from 1 species